CAACAUGUAAGAUUUUUCUCCCCGGAGACGUUAAUAGAAGAAUUAGCCAACGGAUUUAGGGAUCUUACCGUUCCGCGAUUCGCCGGAAUGGUGAACAAGAUUGCAAUGUUUCUCUCUGAAGCAAUGAAUAACAAUGUUGUCAUAAACAUUUGUUUGGGAGCUUAUUAUAGACUUAUUAUAGGA